AAAAAAGAAAAUGAAACUUGAAGCUUCCAGAAAGAAACUUAAAACUUCAUUCAUUCCAGAAUGAAGAGGGAAUGUAAAGACAAAAUGGAAAAUUCACUAUUUCAUGCUUUGAGAGGAGGAAUCAGCCCAAAUAUAGACCCUACAUCUAGGAGACUAGAGUUUUAAUGGCCAAUGGCAAGAGAAAACAUGGCAUUGGGUCUUAAUUCGGUAUAAGAGUUGGAAAUGAGACUUCUAAAUAAAGCUAGGACUUGCAAGUUUUGUCCAUUCAAGACAAAUAAAGAAGAGAGUCUAAAAAAAAAAAAAAUAGCUGUGUCCCAGUGGAAUGAUAGGGAGCUCUUCCCUAUACCAGGGCUUUGAUAGCAAAAAAAAAAGCUCACCACCAAAGAAGGUCUUACAUGAGAAGUAAGUCCUGCAAGCUUCUAUACAACUCCAUGCACAUGGCACUGUUUAGGUAAGUGAGGAGGGUGGCAGGGGGCUGGGAGAUGAGGCUUAGGCAGCCUCACAAAUAAAACUUAGGAAACCACAAUAAGAAAAACAUUUGUCAUAAUGAAAAAACCAGUAAACAAGGGUCUGUCUAAAUGGCCUUAUUAGACCCUUCAAGGCAAUCUGUCAGAACAGAAAUGCAUGAUAAUUUCCUUUCUGCCACAAGCAUAAGAAAAAAGGCUCUUCUCUUCGCUGGUAUUGAAAGAUAUUCAUCUUAAAAUCCCUAAAUAAUGCUGAUUUUUAAAGAAGGAUAUUGUAUUAGUUUUUCAAGCUGGUUGUAACAAAUUAUCAUAAACUGGGGGGCUUCAAACAGCAGAAAUUUACUCUCUCACAGUUCUAGAGUCUAGUCCAAAAUUAAGAUGUUGGUAGAGUCAUUCUCCUACAGAAGAAUCCUUCCUUGCCUCUUUUGGCUUCUGUUGGUUUCCAGCAAUCAUUAGCAUUCCUUGAUUUAUAGCAGCGUAACUCCAGUCUCUGCCUUCAUCUUUGCAGGGCCUUAUUCUCUAAGUCUCCUCUGUGUCUCUGUAUGUCUCCAAAGCUCCCUCAGCUUCUAACGAGUUCCAGCAUUGGAUUGAAGGGCUGCCCUAAUCCGGUAUGACCUCAUAGUAACUCGAUUAUAUCUGCAAAGACCGUAUUUCCAAACAAGGUCACAUUCACAAAUACCUGGAGUUGGGACCUCAACAUAUCUGUUUGGGGGACACAAUUCCAC
rnacentral:lncRNA from 1 species